rnacentral:rRNA from 1 species
AGCAGCCGCGGUAAUUCCAGCUCCAAUAGCGUAUAUUAAAGUUGUUGCAGUUAAAAAGCUCGUGGUUGAAUUUCGGGAUCAAUACGUCGGUCGUGCCUCCGGUAUGUACUGGUGUUAUUGAUUCCUCCCUUCUGAUGAACCAUGAUGUCAUUUAAUUUGGUGUUGUGGGAAGUCAGGACUGUUACUUUGAAAAAAUUAGAGUGUUUAAAGCAGGCCUACGCUUGAAUACAUUAGCAUGGAAUAAUGAAAUAGGACGUUCGAACCUAUUUUGUUGGUUUUUAGGAUCAACGUAAUGAUUAAUAGGGAUAGUUGGGGGCAUUAGUAUUCAAUUGUCAGAGGUGAAAUUCUUGGAUUUAUUGAAGACUAACUACUGCGAAAGCAUUUGCCAAGGAUGUUUUCAUUAAUCAAGAACGAAAGUUAGGGGAUCGAAGACGAUCAGAUACCGUCGUAGUCUUAACCAUAAACUAUGCCGACUAGGGAUCGGAUGAUGUUAAUUUUUUAAUGUACUCAUUCGGCG